ensembl:processed_transcript BC006965 uncharacterized LOC110305879
ACGCGUCGGCCACUCCACCUCGGGCGCUCUGAAGCCGGCCGCAUGGAGACUGGGGGACGGUGGUAGGAUGGUCCUAGACCCCCUUCCCUCCAUUUCUGCAACCUUGGUGAAUUGAAAAGGGAUCAAUAUCCUUGGUCAGCGCUACUAUACCAGAUGGCCAAGGGACAGAGGAAAAAUGGCAGGGCAGACCCCCUUGGAUUUGCCCACGUGGAGUUUGGAUAUUUACCUGACUUCUUUGUCAAGUCUUGGGCCUGAUGCAGGUAAGUGUGGCGGGGCCCUUGGAGAUCUGUUGGAGCAGUUGCAAGGGGCCACUGUAGGCCAGCAAUCGCCAUGGCUGCAGCAUUGGUGCCAAGCAAGAAAUCCCACCGUGUUCCACACACCAAGGCUGAGGAGGCAUAGAGUUGCCUGCUGCAGAGGAGUAGAGUGGCAGCCCUCUGUCCUUCCAUGAAAGGAGACUCCAUGGGAGACAAUGGUUGCAGAAGUAUGGCAACCGGUUCAUGUAUUAAACAGGCCAGGGGAGCUGUCACCACCGAAGGAAGGAGGGUGGUACUGACAGGACUGAUGGUAAUGAUGACAUCUAACGUACAUGGAGCAGCUCUGUCUGCCAGACACUAAGGAUGUACUUGUUUGAUGAGUGCGGACUCAGUGCUGGGUAAGGCUGGAAACAGAAGGUAUACGUACAAAGAUCUGUUCCACCUUGUGGCAAUACUGCAAGUCCCACCCUCCCAUGGCUCUCCUCUGUACAGACUGUAAAAUACAAGCAGAAAACACUAAUUAACUGAUCAUUAGCAGGAAGGUGAAAGAUCAUACUUAGAUUUACAUGUUGCCUUCUUGUUCGAAGAACUGCGUCAGCAUCCACUAAUUAAUCCAUCAGCAAAGAAUGCUGCCUGCAUCUCUCCAUC